UACGUAGGGCGCAAGCGUUGUCCGGAAUUAUUAGGCGUAAAGAGCUCGUAGGCGGUCUGUCACGUCUGCCGUGAAAACCCGAGGCUUAACCUCGUGGCCUGCAGUGGGUACGGGCAGACUAGAGUGCGGUAGGGGAGACUGGAAUUCCUGGUGUAGCGGUGAAAUGCGCAGAUAUCAGGAGGAACACCGGUGGCGAAGGCGGGUCUCUGGGCAAUAACUGACGCUGAGGAGCGAAACGCGUGGGGAGCGAACAGG
rnacentral:rRNA from 1 species